CCAAGGGUUGGGCUGUUCGCCCAUUAAAGCGGUACGCGAGCUGGGUUCAGAACGUCGUGAGACAGUUCGGUCCCUAUCCGUCGUGGGCGUAGGAAAUUUGAGAGGAGCUGUCCUUAGUACGAGAGGACCGGGAUGGACACACCGCUGGUGUACCAGUUGUCUUGCCAAAGGCAUCGCUGGGUAGCUAUGUGUGGACGGGAUAAGUGCUGAAAGCAUCUAAGCAUGAAGCCCCCCUCAAGAUGAGAUUUCCCAUUACGCAAGUAAGUAAGAUCCCUCAAAGACGAUGAGGUAGAUAGGUUCGAGGUGGAAGUGUGGUGACACAUGGAGCUGACGAAUACUAAUCGAUCGAGGACUUAACCA
rnacentral:rRNA from 2 species